rnacentral:lncRNA from 1 species
ACAUUGAGGGAUCAUCAUCAUCAUCAUCAUCAUCAUCAUCAUCAUCAUCCAUCCAGGGAGAAGACAUCGAGGGUUAUCAUCAUUCUAUUUCAGAAGAGAAUAUCUAUCAAAGCAUCACCAUCAUUCCAUCUGAAGAGAGGACAUCGAGGGACCAUUAUCAUCAUUCCAUUUGAAGAGAGGACAUCAAAGGACUAUUACCACUACUAAUCAUCACUGUGCUAUCUGGAAAGUAGACAUCGAGGGACUACCAUCAGACUGUCAUCAUAUGCGAUAUUAUCAAGAAAUCAUCACCACCCAGGCAUAGACAUUAAAGAGGCAUCAUCUAUAUGGACAUUGAUGGAUCAUCACUUGAAGAUUAUCUAAUUACCUGAUAAAAAUAAUCACUUGAAAAGAGGACAUUGAGGAAUUAUUAACUGAAGAUCAUCAUUAACAACAUUGAGAAUCGCGGGAUAUUAUAUUGUAUCAUCGUAUCAUCUGGAAGAUUGAAUACUAAGGAAGCACUCCUAUUUAUUCAGAAAUUCAAUAUCACAGAUUAUCAUCCUCAUCAUCGUUUUCCAAGGACCCGGACAUCCAAUCUUAGAGGGAAUGCAGAGUUCCAGCAAAACAGUAUAUUUUUUCUUUCUAAAAGAUAUCUUUUUAUCAUUCGUUAAAGGUAUCCCAAUCCAUUGAAGGAAGAUAACUAUAAUGACUACUUGUUAAAGUUUGAAUAUUUCUUUAUUCGAAGACCUCACUGAAGAGUUACUGACCUCAUCAUUAGGAUUAAACAUUCAUUUAACUUUUUCUCGAUUAUUGAUUUCUUUUCAUUAAUAUAUUUUAAUUUUUCAAAUAUUUAGAAUCUUAAUCGAAGAAUUUUUGCUUGUUUAUCACUUAAAAUUUGAACAUUUCUUUACUCGAAGAUCUCACUAGGACUAAGAGUCCUAGUAUUUAUUGAGAAAUUCAGUAUCAGAGAAUAUCUGAAGAGAGAACAUCGAAGGACUAUUACCACUACUAAUCAUCACUGUGCUAUCUGGAAAGUGUACAUCGAGGGACUACCAUCAGACUGUCAUCAUAUGCGAUAUCAUCAAGAAAUCAUUACUUACUAUCCAGGCAGACAUUAAAGAGGCAUCAUAUAUAUCUGUGGUUCCCAAACUUUUUUGGUCCAUGGACCCCUUUUUAUAGUCAAAAGUUGUCCACAGUCCCCCAAGUGAAAAAGCUACUAUAAAGCAUAAGACAAAAAUUUAAAAAAAAAUUGUUGGAGAAGUAUUUAUUGAAAUUAUAACUUUUGUUUAAAAUGAAAUAGAAAAAAUUAAUGACUUGGGUGAACAUGAUGAGAUUUUAUCGGUGUAAUUAUGUCUGGUUCGAAGUUUGUGAGUAGCAACCGCAAAUCCCCAUUAGCAUUAAUUUCUAACCGGUUUAUUUUUUUGUGAUGAGAUUCAUAACGGCACUGAAUCCACAUUCUACCAAAUAGGAAGACGGGAAAGCAGUCGUCAACAACUUCUCUACAGUAACCUAUAGCGCAGGAUAAAAUUAAGAUCUGUUUUUGUAACCAGAAUUUGUGUAUCCUUGUUGAAACAUUGGUUUAAGUUCCUUAUUUGUGGAUGUUUUUUUAUAUUAAUAAUUAAACUUUGCGCGGACCCCCCGACGUUGUCCAGGGACCCCCAAAUCAUUUUUAAUCUUCCGCGGACAUCCUGAAUGAUACGGGGGGGGGAUCCCUGAGGGUCCGGAGGGACUACUUUGGGAACCACUGAUCUAUAUGGACAUUGAUAAGUCAUUACUUGAAGAUUAUCAUCUAAUGAAGAUAAUCACUUGGAAAGAGGACAUUGAGGAAUUAUUACUUGAAGAUCAUCAUUAACAACAUUGAGAAUCGCGGGUUAUCAUAUUAUAUCAUCGUAUCAUCUGGAAGAUUGAAUACUAAGGAAGCACUCCUAUUUAUUCAGAAAUUCAAUAUCACAGAUUAUCAUCCUCAUCAUCGUUUUCCAAGGACCCGGACAUCCAAUCUUAGAGGGAAUGCAGAGUUCCAGCAAAACAGUAUAUUUUUUCUUUCUAAAAGAUAUUUUUUUUAUCAUUCGUUAAAGGUAUCCCAAUCCAUUGAAGGAAGAUAACUAUAAUGACUACUUGUUAAAAUUUGAAUAUUUCUUUAUUCGAAGACCUCACUGAAGAGUUACUGACCUCAUCAUUAGGAUUAAACAUUCAUUUAACUUUUUCUCGAUUAUUGAUUUCUUUUCAUUAAUAUAUUUUAAUUUUUCAAAUAUUUAGAAUCUUAAUCGAAGAAUUUUUGCUUGUUUAUCACUUAAAAUUUGAACAUUUCUUUACUCGAAGAUCUCACUAGGACUAAGAGUCCUAGUAUUUAUUGAGAAAUUCAGUAUCAGAGAAUAUCUGAAGAGAGAACAUCGAAGGACUAUUACCACUACUAAUCAUCACUGUGCUAUCUGGAAAGUGUACAUCGAGGGACUACCAUCAGACUGUCAUCAUAUGCGAUAUCAUCAAGAAAUCAUUACUUACUAUCCAGGCAGACAUUAAAGAGGCAUCAUAUAUAUCUGUGGUUCCCAAACUUUUUUGGUCCAUGGACCCCUUUUUAUAGUCAAAAGUUGUCCACAGUCCCCCAAGUGAAAAAGCUACUAUAAAGCAUAAGACAAAAAUUAAAAAAAAAUUGUUGGAGAAGUAUUUAUUGAAAUUAUAACUUUUGUUUAAAAUGAAAUAGAAAAAAUUAAUGACUUGGGUGAACAUGAUGAGAUUUUAUCGGUAUAAUUAUGUCUGGUUCGAAGUUUGUGAGUAGCAACCGCAAAUCCCCAUUAGCAUUAAUUUCUAACCAGUUUAUUUUUUUGUGAUGAGAUUCAUAACGGCACUGAAUCCACAUUCUACCAAAUAGGAAGACGGGAAAGCAGUCGUCAACAACUUCUCUACAGUAACCUAUAGCGCAGGAUAAAAUUAAGAUCUGUUUUUGUAACCAGAAUUUGUGUAUCCUUGUUGAAACAUUGGUUUAAGUUCCUCAUUUGUGGAUAUUUUUUUAUAUUAAUAAUUAAACUUUGCGCGGACCCCCCGACGUUGUCCAGGGACCCCCAAAUCAUUUUUAAUCUUCCGCGGACAUCCUGAAUGAUACGGGGGGGGGGAUCCCUGAGGGUCCGUAGGGACUACUUUGGGAACCACUGAUCUAUAUGGACAUUGAUAAAUCAUUACUUGAAGAUUAUCAUCUAAUGAAGAUAAUCACUUGGAAAGAGGACAUUGAGGAAUUAUUACUUGAAGAUCAUCAUUAACAACAUUGAGAAUCGCGGGUUAUCAUAUUAUAUCAUCGUAUCAUCUGGAAGAUUGAAUACUAAGGAAGCACUCCUUCUAUUUAUUCAGAAAUUCAAUAUCUUAGAUUAUCAUCUUCAUCAUCGUUUUCCAAGGACCCGGACAUCCAAUCUUAGAGGGAAUGCAGAGUUCCAGCAAAACAGUAUAUUUUUUCUUUCUAAAAGAUAUUUUUUUAUCAUUCGUUAAAGGUAUCCCAAUCCAUUGAAGGAAGAUAACUAUAAUGACUACUUGUUAAAGUUUGAAUAUUUCUUUAUUCGAAGACCUCACUGAAGAGUUACUGACCUCAUCAUUAGGAUUAAACAUUCAUUUAACUUUUUCUCGAUUAUUGAU